GACGUAGGGCGCGAGCGUUGUCCGGAUUUAUUGGGCGUAAAGAGCUCGUAGGCGGCUUGUUGCGUCGGCUGUGAAAUCCCGUGGCUUAACUGCGGGCUUGCAGCUGAUACGGGCGGGCUGGAGUUCGGUAGGGGAGACUGGAAUUCCUGGUGUAGCGGUGAAAUGCGCAGAUAUCAGGAGGAACACCGGUGGCGAAGGCGGGUCUCUGGGCCGAUACUGACGCUGAGGAGCGAAAGCGUGGGGAGCAAACAGG
rnacentral:rRNA from 1 species